rnacentral:rRNA from 1 species
GAUGAACGCUAGCUACAGGCUUAACACAUGCAAGUCGAGGGGAAACGAUAGAGAAAGCUUGCUUUUUCUAGGCGUCGACCGGCGCACGGGUGAGUAACGCGUAUCCAACCUGCCCAUCACUUGGGGAUAACCUUGCGAAAGUAAGACUAAUACCCAAUGACGUCUCUAGAAGACAUCUGAAGGAGAUUAAAGAUUUAUCGGUGUACGAUGGGGAUGCGUUCCAUUAGGUAGUAGGCGGGGUAACGGCCCACCUAGCCAACGAUGGAUAGGGGUUCUGAGAGGAAGGUCCCCCACAUUGGAACUGAGACACGGUCCAAAACUCCUACGGGAGGCAGCAGUGAGGAAUAUUGGUCAAUGGGCGCAGGCCUGAACCAGCCAAGUAGCGUGAAGGAUGACUGCCCUAUGGGUUGUAAACUGCUUUUAUAAGGGAAUAAAGUGGGAGUCGUGACUCUUUUUGCAUGUACCUUAUGAAUA